rnacentral:rRNA from 1 species
AACUCUGGUAUUGAUUGGUGCUUGCAUCAUGAUUUACAUUUGAGUGAGUGGCGAACUGGUGAGUAACACGUGGGAAACCUGCCCAGAAGCGGGGGAUAACACCUGGAAACAGAUGCUAAUACCGCAUAACAACUUGGACCGCAUGGUCCGAGUUUGAAAGAUGGCUUCGGCUAUCACUUUUGGAUGGUCCCGCGGCGUAUUAGCUAGAUGGUGGGGUAACGGCUCACCAUGGCAAUGAUACGUAGCCGACCUGAGAGGGUAAUCGGCCACAUUGGGACUGAGACACGGCCCAAACUCCUACGGGAGGCAGCAGUAGGGAAUCUUCCACAAUGGACGAAAGUCUGAUGGAGCAACGCCGCGUGAGUGAAGAAGGGUUUCGGCUCGUAAAACUCUGUUGUUAAAGAAGAACAUAUCUGAGAGUAACUGUUCAGGUAUUGACGGUAUUUAACCAGAAAGCCACGGCUAACUACGUGCCAGCAGCCGCGGUAAUACGUAGGUGGCAAGCGUUGUCCGGAUUUAUUGGGCGUAAAGCGAGCGCAGGCGGUUUUUUAAGUCUGAUGUGAAAGCCUUCGGCUCAACCGAAGAAGUGCAUCGGAAACUGGGAAACUUGAGUGCAGAAGAGGACAGUGGAACUCCAUGUGUAGCGGUGAAAUGCGUAGAUAUAUGGAAGAACACCAGUGGCGAAGGCGGCUGUCUGGUCUGUAACUGACGCUGAGGCUCGAAAGUAUGGGUAGCAAACAGGAUUAGAUACCCUGGUAGUCCAUACCGUAAACGAUGAAUGCUAAGUGUUGGAGGGUUUCCGCCCUUCAGUGCUGCAGCUAACGCAUUAAGCAUUCCGCCUGGGGAGUACGGCCGCAAGGCUGAAACUCAAAGGAAUUGACGGGGGCCCGCACAAGCGGUGGAGCAUGUGGUUUAAUUCGAAGCUACGCGAAGAACCUUACCAGGUCUUGACAUACUAUGCAAAUCUAAGAGAUUAGACGUUCCCUUCGGGGACAUGGAUACAGGUGGUGCAUGGUUGUCGUCAGCUCGUGUCGUGAGAUGUUGGGUUAAGUCCCGCAACGAGCGCAACCCUUAUUAUCAGUUGCCAGCAUUAAGUUGGGCACUCUGGUGAGACUGCCGGUGACAAACCGGAGGAAGGUGGGGAUGACGUCAAAUCAUCAUGCCCCUUAUGACCUGGGCUACACACGUGCUACAAUGGAUGGUACAACGAGUUGCGAACUCGCGAGAGUAAGCUAAUCUCUUAAAGCCAUUCUCAGUUCGGAUUGUAGGCUGCAACUCGCCUACAUGAAGUCGGAAUCGCUAGUAAUCGCGGAUCAGCAUGCCGCGGUGAAUACGUUCCCGGGCCUUGUACACACCGCCCGUCACGCC